CAUGCAAGUCGAACGGACGAUGAGAGCUUGCUCUCAAAGUUAGUGGCGCACGGGUGAGUAACACGUAGCUAAUCUGCCCUAUACUGGGGGACAACAGUUGGAAACGACUGCUAAUACCCCAUACUCCGGUAUUACUUAAGUAGUAUCGGGAAAGUUUUUCGGUAUAGGAUGAGGCUGCGGUCUAUCAGCUAGUUGGUGAGGUAAUGGCUCACCAGGGCUAUGACGGAUAGCUGGUCUGAGAGGAUGAUCAGCCACACUGGAACUGAGACACGGUCCAGACUCCUACGGGAGGCAGCAGUGGGGAAUUUUACACAAUGGGCGAAAGCCUGAUGUAGCAACGCCGCGUGGAGGAUGACGGAUUUAGGUCUGUAAACUCCUUUUAUAGGGGAAGAAAUUUGACGGUACCCUAUGAAUAAGCACCGGCUAACUCCGUGCCAGCAGCCGCGGUAAUACGGGGGGUGCAAGCGUUACUCGGAAUCACUGGGCGUAAAGGGAGCGUAGGCGUUCUAUUAAGUCUUGAGUGAAAGCCUGCAGCCUAACUGCAGAACUGCUCAGGAAACUGAUAGAAUUGAGUAUGGAAGAGGUCAGUGGAAUUUCCAGUGUAGGGGUAAAAUCCGUAGAUAUUGGAAGGAAUACCAGAAGCGAAGGCGACUGACUGGGACAUUACUGACGCUGAGGCUCGAAAGCGUGGGGAGCAAACAGGAUUAGAUACCCUGGUAGUCCACGCCCUAAACGAUGAACACUAGUCGUUACGGAGCUAGUCUCUGUAGUGACGCAGCUAACGCAUUAAGUGUUCCGCCUGGGGAGUACGGUCGCAAGAUUAAAACUCAAAGGAAUAGACGGGGACCCGCACAAGCGGUGAGCAUGUGGUUUAAUUCGAAGAUACGCGAAGACCUUACCAAGGCUUGACAUGUUUGGAAUCUUGUAGAAAUAUGAGAGUGCUGGCUUGC
rnacentral:rRNA from 1 species